GAACGCUAGCGGCAGGCUUAACACAUGCAAGUCGAGGGGCAGCAUAAUGGAUAGCAAUAUCUAUGGCGUCGACCGGCGCACGGGUGAGUAACGCGUAUCCAACCUGCCCAUCACUUGGGGAUAACCUUGCGAAAGUAAGACUAAUACCCAAUGACGUCUCUAGAAGACAUCUGAAAGAGAUUAAAGAUUUAUCGGUGAUGGAUGGGGAUGCGUCUGAUUAGCUUGUUGGCGGGGUAACGGCCCACCAAGGCGACGAUCAGUAGGGGUUCUGAGAGGAAGGUCCCCCACAUUGGAACUGAGACACGGUCCAAACUCCUACGGGAGGCAGCAGUGAGGAAUAUUGGUCAAUGGACGAGAGUCUGAACCAGCCAAGUAGCGUGCAGGAAGACGGCCCUAUGGGUUGUAAACUGCUUUUAUAAGGGAAUAAAGUGAGUCUCGUGAGACUUUUGCAUGUACCUUAUGAAUAAGGACCGGCUAAUUCCGUG
rnacentral:rRNA from 1 species